rnacentral:rRNA from 1 species
AUUGAACGCUGGCGGCAUGCCUUACACAUGCAAGUCGAACGGCAGCACGGGAGCAAUCCUGGUGGCGAGUGGCGAACGGGUGAGUAAUAUAUCGGAACGUGCCCAGUCGUGGGGAUAACGUAGCGAAAGCUACGCUAAUACCGCAUACGAUCUAUGGAUGAAAGCGGGGGAUCGCAAGACCUCGCGCGAUUGGAGCGGCCGAUAUCAGAUUAGGUAGUUGGUGAGGUAAAGGCUCACCAAGCCGACGAUCUGUAGCUGGUCUGAGAGGACGACCAGCCACACUGGGACUGAGACACGGCCCAGACUCCUACGGAGGCAGCAGUGGGGAAUUUUUGGACAAUGGACGCAAGUCUGAUCCAGCCAUUCCGCGUGCAGGAUGAAGGCCCUCGGGUUGUAAACUGCUUUUUGUACGGAACGAAAAGGUUCUAUUAAUACUAGGAGCUCAUGACGGUACCGUAAGAAU